GGGUUGUGCUGGCCUUUAGGGCAUGUGCACGCUUCUGCUCUAUUCUCCUUCAACCACUGUGCACCCUUUGUAGGCUGGAGAAAUCUGGUCUAUGUUUUUUAUACACACCUAAACAAGUAUUAGAAUGUCAUACUUUUAAGUACACUCGCGAGGGUGGA
rnacentral:misc_RNA from 1 species